AGCUUGCUGGGUGGAUUAGUGGCGAACGGGUGAGUAACACGUGAGUAACCUGCCCUUAACUCUGGGAUAAGCCUGGGAAACUGGGUCUAAUACCGGAUAGGAGCGCCUACCGCAUGGUGGGUGUUGGAAAGAUUUAUCGGUUUUGGAUGGACUCGCGGCCUAUCUGCUUGUUGGUGAGGUAAUGGCUCACCAAGGCGACGACGGGUAGCCGGCCUGAGAGGGUGACCGGCCACACUGGGACUGAGACACGGCCCAGACUCCUACGGGAGGCAGCAGUGGGGAAUAUUGCACAAUGGGCGCAAGCCUGAUGCAGCGACGCCGCGUGAGGGAUGACGGCCUUCGGGUUGUAAACCUCUUUCAGUAGGGAAGAAGCGAAAGUGACGGUACCUGCAGAAGAAGCACCGGCUAACUACGUGCCAGCAGCCGCGGUAAUACGUAGGGUGCGAGCGUUAUCCGGAAUUAUUGGGCGUAAAGAGCUCGUAGGCGGUUUGUCGCGUCUGUCGUGAAAGUCCGGGGCUUAACCCCGGAUCUGCGGUGGGUACGGGCAGACUAGAGUGCAGUAGGGGAGACUGGAAUUCCUGGUGUAGCGGUGGAAUGCGCAGAUAUCAGGAGGAACACCGAUGGCGAAGGCAGGUCUCUGGGCUGUAACUGACGCUGAGGAGCGAAAGCAUGGGGAGCGAACAGGAUUAGAUACCCUGGUAGUCCAUGCCGUAAACGUUGGGCACUAGGUGUGGGGACCAUUCCACGGUUUCCGCGCCUCAGCUAACGCAUUAAGUUGCCCCGCCUGG
rnacentral:rRNA from 1 species